rnacentral:rRNA from 1 species
CCUACGGGAGGCAGCAGUAGGGAAUAUUGCUCAAUGGGGGAAACCCUGAAGCAGCAACGCCGCGUGGAGGAUGAAGGUUUUCGGAUUGUAAACUCCUUUUGUUAGAGAAGAUAAUGACGGUAUCUAACGAAUAAGCACCGGCUACCUCCGUGCCAGCAGCCGCGGUAAUACGGAGGGUGCAAGCGUUACUCGGAAUCACUGGGCGUAAAGAGCGCGGAGGCGGGAUAGCAAGUCAGAUGUGAAAUCCUAGGGCUUAACCAUAGAACUGCAUUUGAAACUGUUAUUCUAGAGUAUGGGAGAGGUAGGUGGAAUUCUUGGUGUAGGGGUAAAAUCCGUAGAGAUCAAGAGGAAUACUCAUGGCGAAGGCGACCUGCUAGAACAUAACUGACGCUGAGGCGCGAAAGCGUGGGGAGCAAACAGGAUUAGAUACCCCAGUAGUC